rnacentral:rRNA from 1 species
UUUUAUAACAAUGAUUUUAGUGGCGGACUGGUGAGUAAUGCAUAAGCAACCUGCCUAUGAGAGGGGAAUAACAGUGAGAAAUCACUGCUAAUACCGCAUAAGCUGUGAGUAUCGCAUGAUACAAACAGAAAAGGAGUAAUCCGCUUAUAGAUGGGCUUAUGUCUGAUUAGCUAGUUGGUGGGGUAACGGCCUACCAAGGCGAUGAUCAGUAGCCGGACUGAGAGGUUGAACGGCCACAUUGGGACUGAGAUACGGCCCAGACUCCUACGGGAGGCAGCAGUCGGGAAUAUUGCGCAAUGGAGGAAACUCUGACGCAGUGACGCCGCGUGCAGGAAGAAGGUUUUCGGAUUGUAAACUGCUUUAGAUAGGGAAGAAAAAAAUGACGGUACCUAUAGAAUAAGCUCCGGCUAACUACGUGCCAGCAGCCGCGGUAAUACGUAGGGAGCAAGCGUUAUCCGGAUUUAUUGGGUGUAAAGGGUGCGUAGACGGAUUUGCAAGUUGGUUGUGAAAACCCGAGGCUCAACCUCGGAACUGCAACCAAAACUACAAGUCUUGAGUACUGGAGGGGAAUGCGGAAUUCCUAGUGUAGCGGUGAAAUGCGUAGAUAUUAGGAAGAACACCGGUGGCGAAGGCGGCAUUCUGGACAGCAACUGACGUUGAGGCACGAAAGUGUGGGGAGCAAACAGGAUUAGAUACCCUGGUAGUCCACACCGUAAACGAUGGAUACUAGGUGUUGGUGGUGAUAAGCCAUCAGUGCCGUCGCAAACGCAGUAAGUAUCCCACCUGGGGAGUACGACCGCAAGGUUGAAACUCAAAGGAAUUGACGGGGGCCCGCACAAGCAGUGGAGUAUGUGGUUUAAUUCGAAGCAACGCGAAGAACCUUACCAAGGCUUGACAUAUACAGGAAUAUGCUAGAAAUAGU